UACGUAGGGGGCAAGCGUUGUCCGGAAUUAUUGGGCGUAAAGAGCGCGUAGGCGGUCCGGUAAGUCGGCUGUGAAAGUCAAGGGCUCAACCCUUGAAAGCCGGCCGAUACUGUCGGACUAGAGUCCGGAAGAGGCGGGUGGAAUUCCCGGUGUAGCGGUGAAAUGCGCAGAUAUCGGGAGGAACACCAAUGGCGAAGGCAGCUCGCUGGGACGGUACUGACGCUGAGACGCGAAAGCGUGGGGAGCGAACAGG
rnacentral:rRNA from 1 species